GUCUAUGGUCAUACCACCAGGAAUGCGCCCGAUCUUGGCCAAUCUCAGAAGCUAAGCAGGGUUGGGCCUGGUUAGUAUUUGGAUGGGAGAAAGAAAAAGAGAAGAGAGGAGUGGGGC
rnacentral:rRNA from 1 species